AUUGAACGCUGGCGGCAGGCCUAACACAUGCAAGUCGAACGAGUGGCGGACGGGUGAGUAAUGUCUGGGAAACUGCCUGAUGGCGGGGGAUAACUACUGGAAACGGUAGCUAAUACCGCAUACCAUCGGAUGUGCCCAGAUGGGAUUAGCUUGUUGGGGGGGUGACGGCUCACCAAGGCCACGAUCCCUAGCUGGUCUGAGAGGAUGACCAGCCACAGUGGCACUGAGACCCGGUCCAGACUCCGACGGGAGGCAGCAGUGGGGAAUAUUGCACAAUGGGCGCACGCCUGAUGCAGACAUGACGCGUGUAUGAAGAAGGCCUUCGGGUUGUAAAGGACUGUCAGCGGGGAGGCGUUACCCGCAGAAGAAGCACCGGCUAACUCCGUGCCAGCAGCCGCGGUAAUUC
rnacentral:rRNA from 1 species